rnacentral:rRNA from 1 species
UACGGGGGGGGCAAGCGUUGUUCGGAAUUACUGGGCGUAAAGGGCUCGUAGGCGGCCAACUAAGUCAGACGUGAAAUCCCCCGGCUUAACCUGGGAACUGCGUCUGAUACUGGGAGGCUCGAGUAUGGGAGAGGGAUGUAGAAUUCCAGGUGUAGCGGUGAAAUGCGUAGAUAUCUGGAGGAAUACCGGUGGCGAAGGCGGCAUCCUGGACCAUUACUGACGCUGAGGCGCGAAAGCUAGGGGAGCAAACGGG